AUACUUACCUGGCAGGGGAGAUACCAUGAUUGAGCAGGUGGUUUUCCCAGGGCGAGGCUCACCCAUUGCACAUGGGGUGUGAUUUCCCCAAAUGCAGGAAACUUGACUGCAUAAUUUCUGGUAGUGGGGCCUGUGUUUGCACUCUCCCCUG
rnacentral:snRNA from 1 species